AUUGAACGCUGGCGGCAGGCCUAACACAUGCAAGUCGAGCGAGCGGCGGACGGGUGAGUAAUGUAUGGGAAACUGCCUGAUGGAGGGGGAUAACUACUGGAAACGGUAGCUAAUCCCGCAUACUAUCAGAUGUGCCCAUAUGGGAUUAGCUAGUAGGUGGGGUAAUGGCUCACCUAGGCGACGAUCCCUAGCUGGUCUGAGAGGAUGACCAGCCACACUGGGACGGAGACACGGCCCAGACUCCUACGGGAGGCAGCAGUGGGGAAUAUUGCACAAUGGGCGCAAGCCUGAUGCAGCCAUGCCGCGUGUGUGAAGAAGGCCUUCGGGUUGUAAAGCACUUUCAGCGGGGAGGCGUUACCGACAGAAGAAGCACCGGCUAACUCCGUGCCAGCAGCCGCGGUAAUAC
rnacentral:rRNA from 1 species